UUUCUUCCAUUCUUUCUACAUUUGUUAGCAUUCUGGGAUCCUUCUCUAUUCCUUUUCUAAGUCACUAUAGACUUAUGGUUUGACCUGUUUUGGUUUCUUAUGGUGAAUCACAGAAAAAUGAGGAAGAAGCUAAAAGGGAAAAUGAAGUCUAAAGAGCAUUUUUCUUUAAAAUGGCAAGAAAAACAAAAACAGCAUGCCAUAUACUUUUGGAAAUAAUCUGCUAAGCUGGGGGAAAAAAACAAAAAAUAAAUAAUGCAGGAACUAUGUCCUGAAAUAGAUAAAUGGACUUGGGCUAUUUUUGCAAAAGUAGAGGAAGUGGCCUUCAGUACAUGGGCAUACAGUUCUUCUAUUGUAACAGCAAAAAAAAAAGUCAGAGAAUAUGGUCACAGAAAAAGUAAUGGAUACAUAUGGUGUAGGGAACUUUUAGUCCUUUUCUAUUUGUGUUUUUUUAUAAAACAGAAGGUAUGAUCAACAACUGAGUGCAGAGAGAAGGAAGGAGUUAGAGUAUUGAACAAUGAAGGUAUGUGAUAGUUACUAAAAAUAAUGCAGGAAAAGGAAAUUUAAUGGGAUUGCUGAACAGUAACAAAGAUGCACUUGAAGAUGAUGGUUGUAUAAAGUAAGAUGAUUUGAAAUAAUCAGAUCUUUCUUUAGUUUAUUUAAUUGUGUGCUACAGAAAUGAAGUAAAGAAAAUAUUAGAUUAAACCAAUCUUGAAGUUUUGUCCACCAAGAAUGACCAAGCAAGAGAAGGGAGAAUGGAAUGGACUGAAAGAUAAAUGCAAGUGAUGAUUGUAAUGACAGACCAUGUCUUUGUUGAGUUAGGAGGGAAACAAGGGUACACAAAAGGUAAAGAAAGAUGAAAGCAGUUCUGGAAGUCCUCUUUUGUGGGUAUAUUUACCACAUGUGAUCAAAAAAGCAGUGAAUGAUACUGCUGAGUACCAUCCAACAGGAAGGCAGGCUCAUAAAAACAUCGGUCUGUCCUCAUCAGUUCACCAGAUCUGACACCGUGAGACCUCUGGCUCUUCCCCAAAAUCAAAAUAAUCGUAAAAGAGUUGUAGUGUAAUGCAUCUAGCUAGGGAUUUAGCCCAGUGGUUCCACCGCCUGCCUGGCCUGCGGGGUAAGCACAA